GACGAACGCUGGCGGCGUGCUUAACACAUGCCAGUCGAACGGAAAGGCCCUGCUUUUGUGGGGUGCUCGAGUGGCGAACGGGUGAGUAACACGUGAGUAACCUGCCCUUGACUUUGGGAUAACUUCAGGAAACUGGGGCUAAUACCGGAUAGGAGCUCCUGCUGCAUGGUGGGGGUUGGAAAGUUUCGGCGGUUGGGGAUGGACUCGCGGCUUAUCAGCUUGUUGGUGGGGUAGUGGCUUACCAAGGCUUUGACGGGUAGCCGGCCUGAGAGGGUGACCGGCCACAUUGGGACUGAGAUACGGCCCAGACUCCUACGGGAGGCAGCAGUGGGGAAUAUUGCACAAUGGGCGGAAGCCUGAUGCAGCAACGCCGCGUGCGGGAUGACGGCCUUCGGGUUGUAAACCGCUUUCGCCUGUGACGAAGAGUGAGUGACGGUAAUGGGUAAAGAAGCACCGGCUAACUACGUG
rnacentral:rRNA from 1 species